rnacentral:rRNA from 1 species
CGAAGUGCGAUAAGCACUGCGAUUUGCAGAAUUCCGUGAACCAGUAGAAAUCUCAACGCAUACUGCACAAAGGGGAUCUUUCCUCUUUGUACAUACAUAUCAGUGUCGCUC